UACGUAGGUAGCGAGCGUUAUUCGGAUUCACUGGGCGUAAAGGGUCCGCAGGAGGCCUGUCAAGUCGGAUGUGAAAGCCCAGGGCUCAACCCUGGAAUGUCAUCCGAAACUGCCGGGCUCGAGUGCAUGAGGGGUAGACGGAAUUCCUGGUGUAGCGGUGGAAUGCGUAGAUAUCAGGAGGAACACCGAUGGCGAAGGCGGUCUACUGGCAUGCAACUGACUCUCAGGGACGAAAGCGUGGGGAGCAAACAGGAUUAGAUACCCUGGUAGUCCACGCUGUAAACGGUGCGUAUUCGCUGCGGGGCGAACUUUGGUCCGCUCCGUGGCUGAGCUAACGCGUUAAAUACGCCGCCUGGGGACUACGGCCGCAAGGCUAAA
rnacentral:rRNA from 1 species